rnacentral:lncRNA from 1 species
CAGCAAUCAGCUCUGUUAAUUCUGCCAGCUUUAAGACAGUUUAUUCUUCUUUUCUGUGGUGUUCUCCCAUCUGUCUGCUCCCCCAGUGCAGGUUCUGAUUAACACUAAAACCAAUCCUAUGUCAUGAGUGAAGUGACAGCUGGAUAAUUCACGUGGCUCUGGAGAGAAAGGUUUUGGAGUUCUUUUCCCCUGUCUUUAGCUGUGCAGCCCAGCCUCUCCACAGCAUCUGCUUCACCCUGCAAUGGACAUUUUUUCCCUGCUCGUUCAUGCUGCAAAACAAAUUUCUCCUCCAGGACAGGCACUUUUCCAGCCCGGAAUGCUGCAUAUGCUCCUAAAGCAGCCACAGCAGCCCUUCAGUGAGCUGUCACAUUGGCCAAAACCUGUGGCUCCCACUCCCUGAGCAGGACUAAAUCAGCCUGGUGAAACAAUGAGGAAAAUCAGGUCACACCAAUAAAACCUCUCCUUCACUUCAGCUCUAACUCCACACAACCUGAUGUCUUCAUCCCAGCAGAAAAUUCAUCCUUUACUAAAAUCAGCGUAAGUAGCCACAGGACGAUAAAAAUCUGCAUGAAAUGACUCAUUUAUGGGUUUUAUUAUUACUCACACACCUGCUUCUACAGAGAGUGCCACAGAACAAGCACACCAAAAUGACAUCAAAGGGAAAUGGAAGAGUCAAAAGCCAAAUUUUGCUCUGAUUCGAGACAAAAAAAUUCACAGAAAACCUACAGGUGCUGAGAAGAACAGAUCUUCUCCCCUCCAUCUGGAGAAGGAAAAUUCUAAAAUCCUCUGUGAUCCUGGAGUUUGCCCAAUUCUCCUUCCUUCAAAAGAGCCACAUUUGGACCUCACCAGCCCUUUUCAGGCUCGUUCCUGACUCGCAGGAAUUCUGGAGCAAACACAGCUUGGUCCCUCAGCAGCUGCCCCUGCAUGUGAUGGAUGGAGUGAGGUGGGAAAGGUCUCAAAGGUUCUUCUGAGCAGGACAAAGGAUCUGGAGACCUGUGGGGCUGAGGAGUGGCCACUGCCCUCCUCUCCCCAGCAUGGAGAGCAGACAGGCCCCGCUCCCAAGCUCUCCACAGCAGCUCUGCUGAAGGCAAAAGGGACAACUGGAGCUAUCAAGGCGCAUUCCUUCAUCACAGAACUGGGAAAAGAUAUGGAGGAAAUGCCAAAAAUACUUCCCAGGCUGGAGCAGUGGCUCACACCCACUGCUGAACCCCUGCCAAACCUUUGGAACACUCCCUGACGCAUCUGAGCCGCUCCCAAUAAUUCAUUCUCUCGCUCACUCUGCGCUCUCCCAGCCGCGCUACGCCGGCACCUUGGGGAUGCUGCAAGGUCACAGCACAAACACAGGCACCAGGCUGCAGCCACCACAGCCUGACACAGCUGCACACGAGGCUGCAGGGCAGCCUGACCGCAAGACAGAUGCUUUUCUUUUAAAACAAAACUCCUUUCACUCGCUCACAUCCUCCACGCCACGCUCACAACAUGCCCAGGGGAGUGCGAUGAUCUUUUGGCGAAGAGCUCAGCGACUCCCUGCUUGUCCUUGGCUUCAUUCUGGGUGAAUCCCUCCUCACUGGUGUUUCCUGAGAUGUUUUUCAUUCUGACACCUCUUUCCUGCCAUCCCUUCUGCCCCCAGCUCUCUCACACCAACCUCACCAGCCCUGCCCGUAACAGAGCACCGCGAAAACUCCAGGUUGGCGCUGUGAUAUCCAUUACACAACAUUCCACAAUACACCCCACCUCGAUGCUAUUCCCAACACAAAUCCUGGAAAGGCAAGGAAAUGCCAAACAAGUGGGAGCUUUCCUGUAGGUGUUUCACCUACAACAAUCAGAGUGAAGGAAGGCUGAUGGGGAGUGAGCAACACGAGUGAGUAAUU